rnacentral:rRNA from 1 species
GACCCGAAACCCGGUGAUCUAGCCAUGGGCAGGUUGAAGGUUGGGUAACACUAACUGGAGGACCGAACCGACUAAUGUUGAAAAAUUAGCGGAUGACUUGUGGCUGGGGGUGAAAGGCCAAUCAAACCGGGAGAUAGCUGGUUCUCCCCGAAAGCUAUUUAGGUAGCGCCUCGUGAAUUCAUCUCCGGGGGUAGAGCACUGUUUCGGCAAGGGGGUCAUCCCGACUUACCAACCCGAUGCAAACUGCGAAUACCGGAGAAUGUUAUCACGGGAGACACACGGCGGGUGCUAACGUCCGUCGUGAAGAGGGAAACAACCCAGACCGCCAGCUAAGGUCCCAAAGUCAUGGUUAAGUGGGAAACGAUGUGGGAAGGCCCAGACAGCCAGGAUGUUGGCUUAGAAGCAGCCAUCAUUUAAAGAAAGCGUAAUAGCUCACUGGUCGAGUCGGCCUGCGCGGAAGAUGUAACGGGGCUAAACCAUGCACCGAAGCUGCGGCAGCGACGCUGAUGCGUUGUUGGGUAGGGGAGCGUUCUGUAAGCCUGUGAAGGUGUGCUGUGAGGCAUGCUGGAGGUAUCAGAAGUGCGAAUGCUGACAUAAGUAACGAUAAAGCGGGUGAAAAGCCCGCUCGCCGGAAGACCAAGGGUUCCUGUCCAACGUUAAUCGGGGCAGGGUGAGUCGACCCCUAAGGCGAGGCCGAAAGGCGUAGUCGAUGGGAAACAGGUUAAUAUUCCUGUACUUGGUGUUACUGCGAAGGGGGGACGGAGAAGGCUAUGUUGGCCGGGCGACGGUUGUCCCGGUUUAAGCGUGUAGGCUGGUUUUCCAGGCAAAUCCGGAAAACUAAGGCUGAGGCGUGAUGACGAGGCACUACGGUGCUGAAGCAACAAAUGCCCUGCUUCCAGGAAAAGCCUCUAAGCAUCAGGUAACAUCAAAUCGUACCCCAAACCGACACAGGUGGUCAGGUAGAGAAUACCAAGGCGCUUGAGAGAACUCGGGUGAAGGAACUAGGCAAAAUGGUGCCGUAACUUCGGGAGAAGGCACGCUGAUAUGUAGGUGAAGUCCCUCGCGGAUGGAGCUGAAAUCAGUCGAAGAUACCAGCUGGCUGCAACUGUUUAUUAAAAACACAGCACUGUGCAAACACGAAAGUGGACGUAUACGGUGUGACGCCUGCCCGGUGCCGGAAGGUUAAUUGAUGGGGUCAGCGCAAGCGAAGCUCUUGAUCGAAGCCCCGGUAAACGGCGGCCGUAACUAUAACGGUCCUAAGGUAGCGAAAUUCCUUGUCGGGUAAGUUCCGACCUGCACGAAUGGCGUAAUGAUGGCCAGGCUGUCUCCACCCGAGACUCAGUGAAAUUGAACUCGCUGUGAAGAUGCAGUGUACCCGCGGCAAGACGGAAAGACCCCGUGAACCUUUACUAUAGCUUGACACUGAACAUUGAGCCUUGAUGUGUAGGAUAGGUGGGAGGCUUUGAAGUGUGGACGCCAGUCUGCAUGGAGCCGACCUUGAAAUACCACCCUUUAAUGUUUGAUGUUCUAACGUUGACCCGUAAUCCGGGUUGCGGACAGUGUCUGGUGGGUAGUUUGACUGGGGCGGUCUCCUCCUAAAGAGUAACGGAGGAGCACGAAGGUUGGCUAAUCCUGGUCGGACAUCAGGAGGUUAGUGCAAUGGCAUAAGCCAGCUUGACUGCGAGCGUGACGGCGCGAGCAGGUGCGAAAGCAGGUCAUAGUGAUCCGGUGGUUCUGAAUGGAAGGGCCAUCGCUCAACGGAUAAAAGGUACUCCGGGGAUAACAGGCUGAUACCGCCCAAGAGUUCAUAUCGACGGCGGUGUUUGGCACCUCGAUGUCGGCUCAUCACAUCCUGGGGCUGAAGUAGGUCCCAAGGGUAUGGCUGUUCGCCAUUUAAAGUGGUACGCGAGCUGGGUUUAGAACGUCGUGAGACAGUUCGGUCCCUAUCUGCCGUGGGCGCUGGAGAACUGAGGGGGGCUGCUCCUAGUACGAGAGGACCGGAGUGGACGCAUCACUGGUGUUCGGGUUGUCAUGCCAAUGGCACUGCCCGGUAGCUAAAUGCGGAAGAGAUAAGUGCUGAAAGCAUCUAAGCACGAAACUUGCCCCGAGAUGAGUUCUCCCUGACUCCUUGAGAGUCCUGAAGGAACGUUGAAG